rnacentral:rRNA from 1 species
CCUACGGGCGGCAGCAGUGGGGAAUAUUGCGCAAUGGGCGACAGCCUGACGCAGCGAAGCCGCGUGAGGGAUGAAGGUCUUCGGAUCGUAAACCUCUGUCAGCAGGGAAGAACGGUCACUGUGCUAAUCAGCAGUGAAUUGACGGUACCUGCAAAGGAAGCACCGGCUAACUCCGUGCCAGCCGCCGCGGUAAUACGGGGGGUGCGAGCGUUAAUCGGAAUUGCUGGGCGGAAAGCGCUCGUAGGCGGUAUGUCAAGUCAAGGGUGAAAUCCCCGCGCUCAACGUGGGAACUGCCUUUGAAACUGGCAAACGGGAGUGUGUGAGAGGAAAGUGGAAUGCCAGGUGUAGGAGUGAAAU